rnacentral:rRNA from 1 species
GACGGAGGAUGCAAGCGUUAUCCGGAAUGAUUGGGCGUAAAGCGUCCGCAGGUGGCAGUUCAAGUCUGCUGUCAAAGACCGGGGCUUAACUUCGGAAAGGCAGUGGAAACUGAACAGCUAGAGUAUGGUAGGGGCAGAGGGAAUUCCUGGUGUAGCGGUGAAAUGCGUAGAUAUCAGGAAGAACAUCGGUGGCGAAGGCGGGUCUCUGGGCCGUAACUGACGCUGAGGAGCGAAAGCAUGGGGAGCGAACAGG